rnacentral:rRNA from 1 species
GAGUGAACGCUGGCGGUAGGCCUAACACAUGCAAUUCGAACGGCAGCACAGUAAGAGCUUGCUCUUACGGGUGGCGAGUGGCGGACGGGUGAGGAAUACAUCGGAAUCUACUUUUUCGUGGGGGAUAACGUAGGGAAACUUACGCUAAUACCGCAUACGACCUACGGGUGAAAGCAGGGGAUCUUCGGACCUUGCGCGAUUGAAUGAGCCGAUGUCGGAUUAGCUAGUUGGCGGGGUAAAGGCCCACCAAGGCGACGAUCCGUAGCUGGUCUGAGAGGAUGAUCAGCCACACUGGAACUGAGACACGGUCCAGACUCCUACGGGAGGCAGCAGUGGGGAAUAUUGGACAAUGGGCGCAAGCCUGAUCCAGCCAUACCGCGUGGGUGAAGAAGGCCUUCGGGUUGUAAAGCCCUUUUGUUGGGAAAGAAAAGCAGCAGGUUAAUACCCCGCUGUUCUGACGGUACCCAAAGAAUAAGCACCGGCUAACUUCGUG